GGCCCCGUAGCUCAGUGGUAGAGCAGUCGCCUCUUAAGCGAUUGGUCAGAGGUUCGAAUCCUCUCGGGGUCA
rnacentral:tRNA from 1 species